GUCGCCAUAGUUUAAUUGGUAGAACCCCAAAUGGGCGGUACAGGUUCGACUCCUGUUGGUGGCU
rnacentral:tRNA from 1 species